CUCGAGUAGGCGAACGGGUGAGUAACACGUGGGUAGAUCUGCCUUGCACUUCGGGAUAAGCUUGGGAAACUGGGUCUAAUACCGGAUAGGACAGCUGUUUAGUGUCAGUUGUGGAAAGUUUUUUCGGUGCAAGAUGAGCUCGCGGCCUAUCAGCUUGUUGGUGGGGUAAUGGCCUACCAAGGCGUCGACGGGUAGCCGGCCUGAGAGGGUGUACGGCCACAUUGGGACUGAGAUACGGCCCAGACUCCUACGGGAGGCAGCAGUGGGGAAUAUUGCACAAUGGGCGGAAGCCUGAUGCAGCGACGCCGCGUGGGGGAUGAAGGCCUUCGGGUUGUAAACUCCUUUCGACAGGGACGAAGCGUAAGUGACGGUACCUGUAUAAGAAGCACCGGCUAACUACGUGCCAGCAGCCGCGGUAAUACGUAGGGUGCGAGCGUUGUCCGGAAUUACUGGGCGUAAAGAGCUCGUAGGUGGUUUGUCGCGUCGUCUGUGAAAUUCCGGGGCUUAACUCCGGGCGUGCAGGCGAUACGGGCUGACUUGAGUGCUGUAGGGGAGACUGGAAUUCCUGGUGUAGCGGUGAAAUGCGCAGAUAUCAGGAGGAACACCGAUGGCGAAGGCAGGUCUCUGGGCAGUAACUGACGCUGAGGAGCGAAAGCAUGGGUAGCGAACAGGAUUAGAUACCCUGGUAGUCCAUGCCGUAAACGGUGGGCGCUAGGUGUAGGGGGCUUCCACGUCUUCUGUGCCGUAGCUAACGCAUUAAGCGCCCCGCCUGGGGAGUACGCCGCAAGGCUA
rnacentral:rRNA from 1 species